UCACGGUCAGGUCUGUGGUAAUCCCGUCAGAAAACAAAACUGAAAAAAAUCUAGAUUAUAAAUCAACAUGUAACUAAAGCACUCUGUGUAUAACGCCAUAGUAUAGGAUGUAGUUCAGAAAGUGUCAAAGUAUAGUAUACUUUUCAAGAAUAACAUAGUAUGGCCUGUAGUUCAUAGUAUAGCUUGGCAAAAAAAAAAGAUUAUUAUGUGGUUCAAAAAGUGCAAAAUGAUAGGAUGUUGCCUAAAAUUGUCAUGUAUGAUAUGUGGUUCAAAAAAUGUCAUAGUGCAGUAUAUUGUCAGAAUAGUAUGUUUUUCAAGAAAAAUGAGUAUAUGUCGUCUAAAAAAUACCAUAGAAUAAUAUUUCAUUGCACAAGUAAAAGUAUAGUAAUUUUUAAAACUAUUCAAAUUCUUAAAAAAUGUUGCUAAAAAAUGACAAAAAAAACUUAAACAAAAAAGUCAUAGUAAUAUGUCAAUUUAAAAAGCCUAUAGUAUAGCAUGUCACCCAACAAACAUCAUAGUAUAGCAUGUCGCUCUAAAAACGUCAUAGUUUAGCCUUUAGUCCACAAAAUGUUGUUUUGUCCUGGCUGUCUGAAGUAGGUGAGGAGCAACACCAAAACAGUCCAAACGCUGGUUUCCAGAGGGUUAGACGAGUAUUUAUUUGAAAGAGGAAGUUUACAACAGAACAACAUUUGAGGGGUUUAAAAGCAAAUGGGUGUUAGUAAAAUAAAAAUAAAUAAACAGAACUAAAAGUGAACAUCACGUUGACAUUGAUGGACAUUCCAACCAGGAACAAAGUAAAAGAUAAUCAAUAUGAAAAAAACUCUUCCUGUUCACCUCUUAAAACCCAAAAACACACCGCAGUAGCAUCCUAAACUAAAACUACCAAUGUGUUCCCUGUUUUCCUUUGUGAACAAUUCAAAUGUCCCUCUCUAUCUCCCCACACAUCCACCAACCACUGGAACACAUCUCCAAAGUUCUGCCGGGCCAGCUCAGCUUCCCCUCAGAAGAAGUGGCGCCACCUGCCAGAUGAAGGAGCCUGUUGAGAGGCAGCUAGCAUUGUGAUUGGACUGUACUUUGGUCUGUUCCAAUCCAGCUUCAGCUCCAGAGACGGCAGGCGGGACGAGUCAACGGAGGCCGGUUGGACGAAGGCAUGCAGCUGAGUACAAUCCAGAAAACAACAGAGGAGGAGUGCAGCAUCGUAUGUCUCUUAGAAAACAUCAUAGUAUAGCCUUUGACCAAAGAACUACAGACUCUUCACAACCUGCUCAAACUCUUGGUACAGAACCUCACCACACGGGUCAAGAAGGUUUCCAUCUCAUUUCUACUCUGAAGAUCACUUUCUCCUGCUCAAACUGCUGACAAAUGUUUC
ensembl:lncRNA